rnacentral:misc_RNA from 1 species
GAUCGUUCUCUCGUCAAUUGUG